rnacentral:rRNA from 1 species
UGGGGGAUAUUAGACAAUGGGGGAAACCCUGAUCUAGCAACGCCGCGUGAAGGAUGAAGGUCUUCGGAUUGUAAACUUCUUUGACGAGGGAAGAUAAUGACGGUACCUCGAGAACAAGCCACGGCUAACUACGUGCCAGCAGCCGCGGUAAUACGUAGGUGGCGAGCGUUGUCCGGAUUUACUGGGUGUAAAGGGCGUGUAGGCGGGACUGCAAGUCAGAUGUGAAAUACGGAGGCUUAACCUCCGAGCUGCAUUUGAAACUGCAAUUCUUGAGUGAUGGAGAGGUAAGCGGAAUUCCCAGUGUAGCGGUAAAAUGCGUAGAUAUUGGGAGGAACACCAGUGGCGAAGGCGGCUUACUGGACAUUAACUGACGCUGAGGCGCGAAAGUGUGGGGAGCAAACAGG